rnacentral:rRNA from 1 species
AGCAGCCGCGGUAAUUCCAGCUCCAAUAGCGUAUAGUAAAGUUGUUGCAGUUAAAAAGCUCGUAGUUGAAUUUCGGGAUUUGUCAGUUGGUCGGGCUUCACUGUCCGUAUUGACUUGAUGGAUUCUUACCUUCUGAAUAACCAGCAUGCUAUUAAUUUAGUGCGUUGGGGAAGCAGAUCUAUUACCUUGAAAAAAUUAGAGUGCUUAAAGCGAGCUAGUGCUUGAAUAGAUUAGCAUGGAAUAAUAAAAUAGGACGGCAUGGUUCUAUUUUGUUGGUUUCUAGGAUCACCGUAAUGAUUAAUAGGGAUAGUUGGGGGCAUUAGUAUUCAAUUGUCAGAGGUGAAAUUCUUGGAUUUAUUGAAGACUAACUACUGCGAAAGCAUUUGCCAAGGAUGUUUUCAUUAAUCAAGAACGAAAGUUAGGGGAUCGAAGACGAUCAGAUACCGUCGUAGUCUUAACCAUAAACUAUGCCGACUAGGGAUCGGAUGAUGUUAAUUUUUAAUGACU